AGUGAACGCUGGCGGUAGGCCUAACACAUGCAAGUCGAACGGCAGCACAGUAAGAGCUUGCUCUUACGGGUGGCGAGUGGCGGACGGGUGAGGAAUACAUCGGAAUCUACUUUUUCGUGGGGGAUAACGUAGGGAAACUUACGCUAAUACCGCAUACGACCUACGGGUGAAAGCAGGGGAUCUUCGGACCUUGCGCGAUUGAAUGAGCCGAUGUCGGAUUAGCUAGUUGGCGGGGUAAAGGCCCACCAAGGCGACGAUCCGUAGCUGGUCUAAGAGGAUGAUCAGCCACACUGGAACUGAGACACGGUCCAGACUCCUACGGGAGGCGGCAGUGGGGAAUAUUGGACAAUGGGCGCAAGCCUGAUCCAGCCAUACCGCGUGGGUGAAGAAGGCCUUCGGGUUGUAAAGCCCUUUUGUUGGGAAAGAAAAGCAGCAGGUUAAUACCCCGCUGUUCUGACGGUACCCAAAGAAUAAGCACCGGCUAACUUCGUG
rnacentral:rRNA from 1 species